GUAGGGCAGGGGUGAGGUGCCUGGUGUUGGUCCACCACCAACAACACAUUAAUAGCCAGUCCUGAGGAUGGACCAUAAAUGGAAAAGUCCCAGAAAACUUCUUAAUCUAAAUUCCUCUGGUGUGCGCACUCUCCGGGACUUAGAGAAAAUCACGGUCACAUACUUCUGAUGCGAAUAUCUUCUAGCUCCAUGUGUUUUGGUCACAUCUAUAUUCAAUAGUUCUCAUCAGAUGAUAUUUCCAUAGCUGAUGGCCACUGUCUCCCUAUUAAAGGGAGAAGGAAAAAACCUCUGAAGAUUACAUCAGGGCAUUCGCGUCACACACCGCUCAUCAUCCACACUUUGUAACAAAUUCUAAUAGAAGAAGUGACUCAGACAAGGGAGAAGGAAAAAAAACUCUGAAGAUUACAUCAGGGCAUUCGGGUCACACACCGCUCAUCAUCCACACUUUGUAACAAAUUCUAAUAGAAGAAGUGACUCAGACAAGGCUGCAGAUCGGUGAUACAGAUGGAGCAGGCGAGAGGGAUCCACCAUGGGCCUCUCGGGAUGUAUUCUCCAGGAUCCCUCCGGUACCAGCGUAUGGCCCAGCCGUGAUGUUCCUUCCG